GACGAACGCUGGCGGCGUGCCUAAUACAUGCAAGUAGAACGCUGAAGAGAGGAGCUUGCUCUUCAUGGCUGAGUUGCGAACGGGUGAGUAACGCGUAGGUAACCUGCCUGGUAGCGGGGGAUAGCUAUUGGAAACGAUAGCUAAUACCGCAUAAAAUUGAUUAUUGCAUGAUAAUUAAUUGAAAGAUGCAACUGCAUCACUACCAGAUUGACCUGCGUUGUAUUAGCUAGUUGGUGAGGUAACGGCUCACCAAGGCGACGAUACAUAGCCGACCUGAGAGGGGGAUCGGCCACACUGGGACUGAGACACGGCCCAGACUCCUACGGGAGGCAGCAGUAGGGAAUCUUCGGCAAUGGGGGGAACCCUGACCGAGCAACGCCGCGUGAGUGAAGAAGGUUUUCGGAUCGUAAAGCUCUGUUGUAAGAGAAGAACGGGUGUGAGAGUGGAAAGUUCACACUGUGACGGUACCUUACCAGAAAGGGACGGCUAACUACGUG
rnacentral:rRNA from 1 species